AUUAACAUUUUUAGAGAAGUGGUUGAAAGCUCCAGAAGAAGCUAGUAUAUGGCGUCUGAAGGGUUUUGCAGAGACAUGAAAGCUUCGAUCUCCACCACGGUGCGAGGCCUCCACCAACCAGAUGGGUUAGGGUUUGGUUUUGUUUUGUUUGCACAUACUUCACUCUUCCACACAUUGCAUUCAUUACUGACUGCUGACUAACAUUAUUAUAUUUUAUUUUAAGUUGACAAUAAAUGUCAUUUUAGAAGCUUUA